CGGUUGAUCCUGCCGGAGGGCAUUGCUAUUGGGGUUCGACUAAGGAAUGCUAGUCGACCGCCGUUCCUUCGGGAACGGAGGGGCGAACGGCUCAGUAACACGUGGCUAACCUGCCCUCGCGUGGGAAAUAACCUCGGGAAACUGAGGCUAAUGUCCCAUAGGGGAGGAUGUCUGGAAUGAUGCCUCCCUGAAAGCUCCGGCGCGCGAGGAUGGGGCUGCGGCCGAUUAGGUAGUAGGUGGUGUAACGGACCACCUAGCCGACGAUCGGUACGGGCCGUGGGAGCGGGAGCCCGGAGACGGGUACUGAGACAAGGACCUGGGCCCUAAGGGGCGCAGCAUUCGCGAAAACUCCGCAAUGCGCGAAAGCGUGACGGGGGAACCCCAAGUGCCAACACAACGUGUUGGCUUUUCUGGAGUGUAAAAAGCCCCAGGAAUAAGGGCUGGGUAAGACCGGUGCCAGCCGCCGCGGUAACACCGGCAGCCCGAGUGAUGUCCGCGUUUAUUGGGCUUAAAGCGUCCGUAGCCGGCCUGUUAAGUCCCCGGUCAAAUCCGGCGGCUUAACCGUCGGUUAUCUGGGGAUACUGGCAGGCUUGAGGCCGGGAGAGGUCAGAGGUACUCCUGGGGUAGGGGUAAAAU
rnacentral:rRNA from 1 species